UUCCUGCCUACCUGAGGCCUUCUGAAGCUCAGCACCAGUGGAAGACUGUGCUUCAGAGCAGGGAGUUUAAUUGAGUCUCCACUGGAAGUCAUUGAAAUGUUGAAGAACCCAACUGCACUCUGGAGCUGAGGGAAUUCAGAUUUCUCCUGGAUUCCUGCACCUAUAGAGUUAUACAGGAGGAAGGAAAAAAAGUGGGAGGCAAGGGGGGGGAGGCAGCUCUAUGAAAGCCAGGCAGAAGUAUCAGUUGUAUGGUAUAUUCCGCUUGUUAUGUUGCAUUUUGGUUGAUAUGAUAUUUCAUGCUCUGUGGUAUUCAGUGACUAGAGUUAAAAUACUGUAAAUUCAGGUCUUCUCUAGAGGCAGCACAGGCCACUUUUUGUACAAAAAUGCUGAACCAAGGAUGCCAGCAAGGUCAGAGGUCUAUGAUGAAAUGUCAUCUUUGAAUGAUAAGCUUGUCUUAUUUAGAUGCAUACACAUGCUCAUGUCUGCAUUAGAGUCCACAAUGAGAAAGCUGCAAAAGGCUUUAGAAGCGUGGAUUUAGUCAGAUAAUUUCUCUUUGUGGCAGAGAAAUGAGAUUAUGAUGUGAAAUAAAUCA